UAAAUAACGACUGAGAUCCACUAUUACAUCAUUUCUCUUAUCCUUGAAAUGUCCGGCUGAUGAUUUUUUCAUUCAUGUAAAAGGCGUUACUCUUCGAAGCAAUCAAUUUAUCAAACGCGUUACUCUUCAGAGCGAUCAAAUCUUUUCUGACAUCAAGAUAUAUUUUCCCAGGCAUCACUCAUUCUUAUUUCAUACUGAUUCAUCAUCCCAUCACAGGGAUUCUCAUACACGGGUUUUAUUUGAUUUGCACCACGCAAGUAAGUAACAAUUGAUUUUAUACAGGGAUUUUGGACGCCCAAUUAAAAGCCUUACUAAUGAAGACAAAAAAAAAUGACACUAUAUAACCAUGGAUAUACCUAGAUAAUGUUGGUGUUACAAAGAUGAUCAAACUUUAUUUACGGAGGUUCAGUUGGGGAUUUAUAUCAGAAACACACCCUGAAGUUUUAAGGUUCCCCAAUUGAUGGAAACGUUGGUUAUGAAUCGUACUCUUCAAUAACAGAAUUGGUUCACAUAAUUCCUACCACUUGAGCUUUUAUAGGUGUCUUUGCUUAUCAAUUAUGACCUUCCAAGAUGGUCUGAAGAUGAUGCCAACCAAGUAGCCUGGAAUGAACUUUAUUGCGAGGUAGCCUGAAAAUGAUUUUACAUUUCCCUUCAAUCUUCUUAAAGAUUUCAGAGAUGGGAGCAUUUAGCUUUGUGAAGACUGGGUCUACAAAUAUUCCCUUCUUUUGUUGGUUAUGGUCACGCCCUUUCACUAUGAACUCUUUCAGGUCUUCGGGUCUGUACCUGCGAGGUCUGAGAUUCUACAACAUUAGCUCAUCUACUGUUUCCUCGGACUAACUUAUCGUAUGUCUCAUGUUGGAUUUCUUCGAGCGCCAUGUAGUCCUCCUGGAUUUCUCUCAACUUCCCUAGGAAAGGUGGCAUUGUUUUGUAUAUCCUUACAAAUAUGGGGUCAGUCUUUCACGGGUUAUUUUUAAAUCCUAAGAUCGCAUAGGCCUCGGGGACCCUUUUGAUAUCAGCUUAGAGUUCCCUCCAUCGUUGGCUAGUGAUCGUAAGGACUCGUAUGGUCCUCUACUUAGUUGGAAUAACAUGUCAAUUCCUAGUUUGACUCGUGUGCUAUGCAUGUAGGCUUUCAAAAAAAUUCAGAUAGAUGAAAUCAAAGGAUUGCAGCGAAUCCUUCAGGAGGUUAUUGAAUCACAUCAGGGACUCUUUUUUCAGACUUGCUGGAAAGAACUUACACAUCACGACGUCAUAUUGGGUCAAUUGUGUUAAUGUCAUUCGAUACGAUCGUAGAUGCUCAAUCGCAUCGCCAGUUCCACUAAAGAUUGUUGUGAAAUUUGAGAGAGAGCAUUUCCUUGGAAAUGAUUAAGCUAAUAGGCUUACCACCAUGGGAAACUGUCCUUCCUCCUGCAUAACUUCUGCUAAUUUCUAGCCUCGUUUAUUCUGGGUUGCUUCUUUGUACAUCAGUUCAAACUGGUUUAACCUUAAUUGCAAUGUAUCGUCGAUGUCCCUCAUUUUUCCUAUGAGAGUCCUGCUCGGAUGGGAUGAAAAUCUCCUGGCAACGAUAUCUUGACUAUCCCGAGUCCUCGUCAGAUUGUUCGUCGAGCGAUACAUACUUAGUUGGUUGAACUCUCUCCCUCCUCGAUGUCACCUUUCGUCUAGAGUUUCCUCCUGAUGUCCUGUCGGACUAGGCAGGGUUUCGAACUUCGUUCUUCUUCUGGUUUUCUACACGUUUAUGUCUGGGGUUAAUUUCGAAUGACUCCUCCGAGUAGCUUCUCGCUUCAUCUCGGACCUCCUUUCUCCUUCGUGGAAAUUGAUCCUCGGUAGCUUCGUUCGAGGUAUCAAGCAGAAUGAAGUAUUCAUCGUCUGCAAGCUUCUCUAGAGGAUUUUCCUCUUCGAAAUUCUCCUUCGGAUGGCAGAUAACACCUUUUUGUGUUUUGCCUGACGUUUCAACCUUCUGUUUUUCUUUUCCAACUUCUUGUUCUGUCGUUCUAACUUUUUCGUUCUCUCUUAUUGCACCUUUUGAGAUUUCAUGAUAGAUUUGAGCUCGGGCGGCGGUGUUAUUAUCACGGAUAGAGGAGUCCUCCUUUCACACCAUGGUAUUAACUACUGGGUUCAUUAGUCCUCCAUUUUGAGUCAAAUGAAUAUCCUCAUGGUCCUCGGAUGAGGCACCUUUUUCUUCAGAAUCAGAAUUAUCUGUUAGUCUUUCACGAUAUUGGUUAUCGGGAUUUCCAUCUCCAUGACAGAGGUUUUUUGGCAGAUCCUCUCCUAGCUUCAUCGUGUCUAGUUCUUCGGACGGCAUACCGUCAGUUUCUCUAUGGUUCGUGCGAGCAGUUCGUCUCGCCACCAUCGUCUUUCCUGUGAGAGAUGCAAUAAUACUCAUUUUUAUUUUCUUUCUAAAAAGUGGGACCCUGGAUUUGCAUGUCAUGUGCAGUUUCUAAGUCAGAGUUUCAGACUGUAUUGUACGAUCUUAAGCUCAGAAAGACUUGACAGUGAGUUUUGUAAAUACUUGAAUAUGAUGUUAAAAACAUUCCCCAACUGGGAAAAGUUUUAGUGUCAGGAAAAGGGGUUUUCUUUUUCUCUGUUUUAGAUUAAACUACCUCCUCCUGCACAUCAUACCUUUAAUGGUUAAAAAACAGUUUUGGCGAGUGAGCACCUUUUCCCUUUUUUGAAGUGUUCCUCAACGCCUACUGAUUUUGAUUUUCAACAAUUUUAUGAUUGAUGAUAUACACUUUAACCUUUCUUCCUUUUUUAGAUCUGAGUUUCUACAAGAGAUUUUGGGUUGUUAUGAGUUUUAAGAGGCGAAAAUACCCCAAAAGGCUUGCAACCUUAGCACUUUUCAACUGUCGUAGUAUGUCUUUAUACUACGAAGUCUACUUAGUCAGAUAUCUUCCCAACUCAAUCAUAGAGGAGGUUUCAUGAACUUUUGCAAGAAAUCAGUGACAUCUCUGAUGUUCUAACCAUCAACUCUCGUGAGCAUCUUUAUAGGAAUAUGAUAAAACAACUUAAAAAUGCUUAAAUCGAGAAGAACAACUGAUAUUGCUUUAGAUUUAACACUUUUGAAGGAUCUACAGGACUUUGAAGCUGUGAAAUCGAAUAGAUCUUGUUGUGUCCUAGAUCAUCUCACCACAUUUUUAGAGAAAUCAACAAGAAAAUAAAUAACUUUCAUUUAGGGUUUUGAAAAACUUUUUAAGGGAGAUAGAAAAAAUCUUUGUACCUCCUUGUUUCUAGCACCAAAAUGUAAUUGCAUAAUUCUUGCAUACCACACCCAUGAAGAUCUAACGACUAAUAAACAUAAAGAUUCAAAGUAAAUACAAUAUGUAAAGAACAUGAAGUAAAUAAGAACACAAUCAUGUAACGUGGUUCGGCAUUGUAGACCUACAUCCACGGUGAAGAAAGCUAUCUUUUAUUAUUGAAGGUCUUACCCUUUUUAGAAUUACAAAUAUCUCUCAAACUUUUAGUUCUCUCUAACUUUCUUUGGAGCAUUACCAUUCAAGAUUACAUGUUUAUUUCCUUGUACAUGGACUGGUAUUUAUAAGCAAAGUAAACUUUUAAAGAUAUGAUAAGGUGCUUCUGGGCUUAUGACGAUGUGGUACAUCUCUCCAUUCUUCGGACUGGCUCCUUACUACUCCCCGUCGAAGCAUAUCGUCCUCCUCCUUCUUCAGAUCUCAUCGUAUUUGUUCCUUAUUCGGGUAGCAUCACAUAUCGCUCUUCAUCUGAGUUUAUGAUAUGAUGUACCUUUGUCUACAUCUGUAUCGUAUCUCUUCUGAUUUUAAUUAAAUGCACUGUUGUCCUUUAAGACCUUGACCCUCAGUAUGAUUUGACUAGUAUUAGGGCAAAGCUCGGUCAACCUCGCAUGCGUUGCUAUCUCAAGCAUGUUUGUCAAUGUUAGUGAUCAAAA